rnacentral:rRNA from 1 species
GACAGAGGGUGCAACCGUUGCUCGGAAUCACUGGGCGUAAAGGGCGUGUAGGCGGGAAGGAAAGUCAGAUGUGAAAUCCCUGGGCUCAACCCAGGAACUGCAUUUGAAACUCCCUUUCUUGAGUGUCGGAGAGGAAAGCGGAAUUCCUGGUGUAGAGGUGAAAUUCGUAGAUAUCAGGAGGAACACCGGUGGCGAAGGCGGCUUUCUGGACGACAACUGACGCUGAGACGCGAAAGCGUGGGGAGCAAACAGG